UGGGGCAGGGGGGCAGGAGGGGCUCAGGGAGAAAGUAUCUACAGCCCCUGGCCCUCUCUGCCCUUCCGUCCCCUG
rfam:Mus musculus chromosome 8, GRC primary reference assembly.